ensembl:antisense 9430041J12Rik RIKEN cDNA 9430041J12 gene
GAUCCCCCUCGCUGCUUUUCUGGGAACAUCCCCCUCCCUCGAAGCUCUCCCAACCCUGUGCCCCUUUCCCAGAGGGUUGCCACAGAGGUUCAGACUUGAGGGGAGGGCAAGGCCAACUCCCAGCCCCCCACCAGGCCCCCAGCUCAGCCAAGCUUUUCUCCUCAUUAAUCUCAAAGUCAAGGACUUGAAUUAAACUGGGUCAGGGGACAGCACCUCCGCCCCCCCCCCCCCCCCCCCCACGAGCCGCAGCUGGGCCUCUUUCCCUAGGGACCCCAGAGUCUGUGAGGGUCCACCACCAGCCUCACCCUCCUGGGACCCAGGCCUGUUGUCUUCCUUAGCCUGGAACCUAACCACAUUUCUAUCCCAACCCUCUCUGGCACCCUAACAACCCCUUCCCUCCUGGGACAGGCUGAAGGCACCUUGAAUCCUCAUCUUACCUCAGCUGGUUUCCCCAGCCCUGAUCUCUGUUCCCUAUUUGAGGAUAUCAAUCCUUCCCAGACCUCGGCUGCCUCCCCUGCCUUCCCUCUCUCAGUCCUUUCUCUACCCCCACCCCCCCGCCAAAAAAAAAUUUUUUUUUAAUUUAAUCUGGGACAUAUUUACUAGUCGGGAUUCUGUGGGGGCGGGGUCCUUCUCGCCUGGGACCUCAAGAGCGGACCUUUCCUUAGAUGACCCUAAAGACUGGCUUUCCAGGCAGGUCUCAGAAACCCAAAUGCUGGGCCCCCAUCUCCUCCCAUUCAGGAUUCUUGGAAGUCUAGGAUCCCAGCUCUCCUUAUCUGGGAAGAGAGGGGUCUGCACCCCCAGCGCACGUCCUAGGGGAACCUCAAGGGGACCUGGCCCAGGUUUGCCAUCCCACCUGCUGGUACUCUUGGUCGCGGGGAGCAAAGCCGCUGGGCACCGGGCGGAGCUGGAAGUCGGCGCGGGGCAGCUGGUGGAGGAGAUGCACCCAGGCAGAGGGAGAUGACUGGAGAAAAGUGAGGUCACAAUGGUGGGCUCUAACACGACUGGAGUCCUUGUCAAAAGAGAUUAAGGACCAGUGAGAUGGCUCAUCAAGGAAAGGGGAGCAUGAAUACAGUUCCUCACUACCACCAAAUAUGCAGUUGAGUUUCCUGAAUUUGGGGAAACUGUAGGGGUCAGAAUAUCAAGAUGUUCUGGAUGUGAUGGAUAAGCCUCACCCCGGGGAAAACGACCUUUGUGAUUAUGGUGUCUCUUCUUCUAGGUUCAUUGAAGAAUGCAAUGAAAUCAUUUUUAAAGAAGUGUGCUAGGCCUGAUGACACAUGCCUUUAAUCUCAGUCCUUGGGAGGCAGAGGCAAAUGGAUGUCUAACCUGUUGACUGGCUGAAUGGGCUUGGUCAGCCAUAAACAGGACAUCUCUAUCACACUCAUUCUCCAAGGCCAAAGGGAUCAUCAUCAUGCAGAAGGAGAGAGGCUGAUUCUGAGAGCCAGAGGCCAGGAAUGGAAAUCAUGUCUGUUUCACAAAGUUGUUUAAAACCGUCUUGCAAGCCUACCUCUGUUUCAAUAAGGUAAUGGCAGAAUUGACUCAACUCUCAGAGCAGUGACUUUCCUAACUCCUGGCUAUGGUCGAGUUGCUUCAGUGUCGCCAGCUUUCCUGUUGCUUUCUCCUGGGCCAGCUCACCACUUCUCAAACUACACACUUUUGCAACAGCAGCAAGAUCUUCCUGACAUCUUCCUCAAGCCCAAGUUUUGGUUGUAGUUUAUCUUAUUUUACUUUAGUUUUGCCUUGGACCACGGAAUGGAUAUCUUUUCCAUCAGUGAACAGGCUGCAUCUUCCACUGUGGCUCACUGCAUGCUUGAAGGACAGCCAUUAGUCUGUAACACUGUGCAGUGUUGUCCUUCAGGUAGCUGCCACAAAGAUAACUCUAUUCUCUUCUCAGGCUAAGCUAUGGACUCUCCCCUUCUGAGCAGGCGGGGGCACCCUGGGUACCCCCCUUCUGACAUUUCAAGUCUUUGUGAGGCUAGGCACUUCCUCUCCCACUGAGGCCAAACAAGACAGCCCAAGCCGUGCCCUCAUAACCGAUUCCCACCAGUGGAACGUGAGCAGGAGUGACUUGUGCCAUUUCAGUGUUCUAAGAGAGAAAUGCUGGACGGGUGCAGGGGGAGAGGAAUCCGUAUCCACUGCAGUGAGAAUAGCAAUUUGUGAAAUCACCAUGGAAAUCAAUAUGGAGGUUCAAGGCCUAGUGAAGUGAAGCCAGAGGAGACCUGGUUACCUCAGUUAUCCCAGGAAGAACUCCACAUGCCAGCCUGGAUCUUCCACAUGGUAGUCUCACCAUGGCAGAAUAAAAAAAAAAACUAUCCUUUUUUUU